UAGCGAACAAGUACCGUGAGGGAAAGGUGAAAAGCACCCCGAUGAGGGGAGUGAAAGAGACCUGAAACCGAACACCUACAAGCAGUCGGAGCCUCCUUGCGGGGUGACGGCGUACCUUUUGUAUAAUGGGUCAACGACUUAGUGUAACUAGCAAGCUUAAGCCGGUAGGUGUAGGCGCAGCGAAAGCGAGUCUGAAUAGGGCGAAUAAGUACGUCGCAUGACGACCCGAAACCAGGUGAUCUAUCCAUGAGCAGGAUGAAGGUUGGGUAACACCAACUGGAGGUCCGAACCCGUGAAUGUUGAAAAAUUCUGGGAUGACUUGUGGAUAGGGGUGAAAGGCCAAUCAAA
rnacentral:rRNA from 1 species